GAUUGUGCCCUGGAAACGAUCUUGCAAAACUAGAAAUCUCAAUCUUUCUCCACUAUUUUCUCCUCAGUUAUAAGAUGGAAAGGGUUAAUCCAAAAAGUCCAGUGAGGUAUCUACCACAUUCAAGGCCUAAAGAUAACUGUUUGGCAAGGAUCAAGAGACUUGAUUGAACAAGUUUGGAUGAAAUGAAUGUCAAUGAUUCCUCAACUAUUGUGUGUG
rnacentral:misc_RNA from 1 species